rnacentral:rRNA from 1 species
AUUGAACGCUGGCGGCAGGCUUAACACAUGCAAGUCGAGCGCCCCGCAAGGGGAGCGGCAGACGGGCGAGUAACGCGUGGGAAUCUACCCAUCCCUACGGAAUAGCUCCGGGAAACUGGAAUUAAUACCGUAUACGCCCUACGGGGGAAAGAUUUAUCGGGGAUGGAUGAGCCCGCGUUGGAUUAGCUAGUUGGUGGGGUAAAGGCCUACCAAGGCGACGAUCCAUAGCUGGUCUGAGAGGAUGAUCAGCCACAUUGGGACUGAGACACGGCCCAAACUCCUACGGGAGGCAGCAGUGGGGAAUAUUGGACAAUGGGGGCAACCUUGAUCCAGCCAUGCCGCGUGAGUGAUGAAGGCCUUAGGGUUGUAAAGCUCUUUCACCGGGGAAGAUAAUGACGGUACCCGGAGAAGAAGCCCCGGCUAACUUCGUGCCAGCCGCCGCCGUAA